CUCCGCUCUCCCCUGAAAAUGACGAGGAACUGAGUACAGUGGACAAUGGCUUCUGUGUCCCCAGCUCCCCCCGAGCCGUGGGCUGCUACAUCAAAGGUCUGCAGGGGGCUGCCCUUCCCAUAAUAUUUCAAUUUAAGCACCGACUUGCUGCUGCGGAGUCACAUCUCAUUCACGCUGCGGCCUUUGCAGGAGUCAGGGAUCAUUAUGGAGCAAGCACUGAGGGAAAACAGAUUACAGCCUGGCCCCCAGCAGCCAGGUUGCACCCCAGAUGCUUCAGGGACAUGGUGCCUGCUCUGGAGAAUGGGGCAGCUUCCACAGUGCGCAGGAGCCAGGGCUUCUGACCCAGGAGUGAAAGUCUGUCUCUUCCAUUUCUGGGAGCUGGAAGUAUUUGCAGGACUUUCUGGGCCUCAGGUAUCCCAUUGUCCACCAGGAAUUACCUUCCUCCAGAUCAUGGUGAAGAUGAUGUGAGAUGCUAAUGCUUAGCCUAUGGUUGCUAUUUUUAGUUCUCCACAUUCCUGGAAAGCAUGCAGUUGAAGUUCAUGACGGUAUUCUUUCAACGUGUGACUCAAAGACAGAGGCCGUUUCCCACCCAUCGGUUCUCACACUGCCCCAUUCUGCAGCUUCACCAUCCAUGCGCUAAGAAGGCAGGCCCCACAG